ACUCAAAGGAAUAGACGGGGGCCCGCACAAGCAGCGGAGCGUGUGGUUUAAUUCGAUGCUACGCGAAGAACCUUACCAAGAUUUGACAUGUUUAUGACAGCUCUGGAAACAGAGUCUCCCUUCGGGGCAUUUUCACAGGUGCUGCAUGGCUGUCGUCAGCUCGUGCCGUGAGGUGUUUGGUUAAGUCCUGCAACGAGCGCAACCCCUAUUGCCAGUUGAAUUCUCUGGCGAGACUGCCUCGUAAAACGAGGAGGAAGGUGGGGAUGACGUCAAGUCAGCAUGGCCCUUAUAUCUUGGGCUACACACACGCUACAAUGGAUAGUACAAUAGGUUGCAAUGGAGCGAUCCGGAGCUAAUCCACAAAGCUAUCCUCAGUUCAGAUUACAGGCUGAAACUCGCCUGUAUGAAGUAGGAGUUGCUAGUAACCGUAGGUCAGCAUACUACGGUGAAUACGUUCUCGGGCCUUGUACACACCGCCCGU
rnacentral:rRNA from 1 species